AUUUCAAUAAAUGUGCAAUUAUUUGUCAAUUGUUUCUCAGUUACAUUUUUAACAUUUCAAAUGAGGAAUAUAAUCUCACAUCAAUGGUAUCACAAAGUUAGCUGUUGAACAAAUCAAACCAGAAUUGAGUUUAUUAAAUUCAUUCACAAUAUGUGCACUCACAAAUAUUUGGUUUAGCUACAUAUAUUUUGCAUUUCAUAACUGAGGAGUCAAGUUUUUUUUUUUUUUUUAACAUUUAGUGCCUGUGAACAUAAACCCUGUCUACUUUGAUUUGAUUGGCCAUCACAAGCACUUUGACAUUGAUGAGCGCUGUAAGACCGCUGAGACAUCUCAUAUGAGAAGAUCUAUCUUGGCUUUGUAUCCUUGCAGCACCAGAGCAGAAUUGAUAUAUGUGAUGUAGUGUAUAUGGAGAAGAUGAGGGGUCCAAGGACUGAGCCCUGAGGAACCCCGGUGCCCAGUUGAUGUGCUUUGGAUACCUCCCCUCCCCAGGCCACCCCGAUAAUGAGAUGGGAUUCAAACCAGCGAAGUGAAAUCCCUGUGAUGCCCAGUGAUGAGAGGGCAGACAGGAGGAUCUGAUGAUUCAGUGUCAAAAGCAGCAGACAGAUCCAGCAGAAUGAGAAUGAUGAUUUGGAAUCAGCUUUCGCAAUCCUCAAGUGUUUGCGCUAUGACUGGAAGGAGAGAGAUAGGUCAGUAAUUAUCUAUAAGUAAAAAGUUACUUACAAAUUUACUUUUAAUGUCAAAAGUGUACACAAAAUAAAGUGUUACUCUGUAGUGUAUUCUACAUAAACAUUGUAAAGAAUGUUAUCUAUCUGAUUAAAUAUUUCAGACUAGAGUGAAACUUGCCAGCCAGCAUAACAACAUUAGUCAGUCCGUUGAGGAUUAAUUACCUCUGUGUUACUCAGCUAUGGGACAAAUCCUUCAUUGAGCCAAAUUAAUAUGUCAUGAUU
ensembl:lncRNA